GACGAACGCUGGCGGCGUGCUUAACACAUGCAAGUCGAACGAAGUGGCGAACGGGAGAGUAACGCGUAAUCAACCUGCCCUUCAGAGGGGGACAACAGUUGGAAACGACUGCUAAUACCGCAUACUGAAGGAGGGGAUUGCGUCGGAUUAGCAAGUUGGAGGGGUAACGGCCCAACAAGGCGAUGAUCAGUAGCCGGUCUGAGAGGAUGAACGGCCACAAUGGGACUGAGGCACGGCCCAGACUGCUAAGGGAGGCAGCAGUGGGGAAUCAUCCGCAAUGGGCGAAAGUCUGACGGAGCAACGCCGCGUGGGUGAUGGCGGCCUGCGGGUUUUAAAGCUCUGUUAAUCGGGACGCGGUACCGGAAUAGAAAGCCACGGCUAACUACGUGCCAGCCGCCGCGGUAAUAC
rnacentral:rRNA from 1 species